UUCAAGAAAUUUUGGAGGUUAGGAACGCUAUCUAAGCUUUGUUUGCGUGGCACUGCAAUUAAGGAGCUGCCUGCUUCUAUUUUAAAUCUCACCAGUCUUGAUAUUUGAAACUGAAUGAUUGCAGAGAUUUGAGAGUCUUCCAGAUCAAUUUCUCACAUGAAAUCUCUUAAAUACUUGAUGUUUCUGGAUGCUCAAGAUUGAGAAGUUUCCAGAAAUUUUGGAGGUUAUGAAGGAGCUAUCUGAGCUUUGUUUGGAUGGCACUGCAAUUAAGGAGCUGCCUGCUUCUAUUUUAAAUCUCACCAGUCUUGGUAGGUUGAGGCUGAAUAUUGCAGAGAACUUGAGAGCUUCCAAGCAUCAUUUCUCAUGAAUCUCUUAAAUACCUUGAUGUUCUGGAUGCUCAAAGAUUGAGAAGUUUUCAGAGAAUUUUGGAGGUUAGGAACGAGCUAUCUAUCUUGUUUGGGGGCACUGCAUUAAGCCUGCCUGCUUCUAUUUUAAAUCUCACCAGUCUUGUUACUUUGAAUUUGAAUGAUUGCAGAGAACUUGAGAGUCUUCCAAGCAGCAUUUCUCACAUGAAAUCUCUUGAAUACCUUGAUGUUUCUGGAUGCUCAAAGCUUGAGAAGUUUCCAGAAAUUUCAGAGGUUAUGAAGGAGCUAUCUGAGCUUUUUUUGGAUGACACUGCAAUUAAGGAGCUGCCUGCUUCUAUUUUAAAUCUCACCAGUCUUGAUACUUUGAAUCUGCAUGAUUGCAGAGAACUUCAGAGUCUUCCAAGCAGCAUUUCUCACAUGAAAUCUCUUAAAUACCUUGAUGUUUCUGGAUGCUCAAACCUUGAAAAGUUUCCAGAAAUUUUGGAGGUUAUGAAGAAGCUAUCUCAGCUUUGUUUGGAUGGCACUGCAAUUAAGGAGCUGCCUGCUUCUAUUUUAAAUCUCAACAGUCUUGUUAGGUUGAGGCUGAAUAAUUGCAGAGAACUUGAGAGUCUUCCAAGCAGCAUUUCUCACAUGAAAUCUCUUGAAUACCUUGAUGUUUCUGGAUGCUCAAAGCUUGAAAAGUUUCCAGAAAUUUUGGAGGUUAUGAAGAAGCUAUCUGAGCUUUGUUUGGAUGCACUGCAAUUAAGGAGCUGCCUGCUUCUAUUUUAAAUCUCAUCAGUCUUGUUAGGUUGAGGCUGAAUAAUUGCAGAGAACUUGAGAGUCUUCCAAGCAGCAUUUCUCACAUGAAAUCUCUUAAAUACCUUGAUGUUUCUGGAUGCUCAAAGCUUGAGAAGUUUCCAGAAAUUUCAGAGGUUAUGAAGAAGCUAUCUGAGCUUUGUUUGGGUGGCACUGCAAUUAAGGAGCUGCCUGCUUCUAUUUUAAAUCUCAUCAGUCUUGUUAGGUUGAGGCUGAAUAAUUGCAGAGAACUUGAGAGUCUUCCAAGCAGCAUUUCUCACAUGAAAUCUCUUGAAUACCUUGAUGUUUCUGGAUGCUCAAAGCUUGAAAGUUUCCAGAAAGUUUUGGAGGUUAGGAAGAAGCCUAUCUGAGCUUUGUUUGGGUGGCACUGCAAUUAAGGAGCUGCCUGCUUCUAUUUUAAAUCUCAUCAGUCUUGUUUGGUUGAGGCUGAAUAAUUGCAGAGAACUUGAGAGUCUUCCAAGCAGCAUUUCUCACAUGAAAUCUCUUAAAUACCUUGAUGUUUCUGGAUGCUCAAAGAUUGAGAAGUUUCCAGAAAGUUUGGAGGUUAGGAAGGAGCUAUCUGAUCUUUGUUUGGGUGGCACUGCAAUUAAGGCGCUGCCUGCUUCUAUUUUAAAUCUCACCAGUCUUGUUACUUUGAAGUUGAAUGAUUGCAGAGAACUUGAGAGUCUUCCAAGCAUCAUUUCUCACAUGAAAUCUCUUGGAUACCUUGAUGUUUCUGGAUGCUCAAAGAUUGAGAAGUUUCCAGAAAUUUUGGAGGUUAUGAAGGAGCUAUCUAUUCUUUGUUUGGGUGGCACUGCAAUUAAGGAGCUGCCUGCUUCUAUUUUAAAUCUCACCAGUCUUGAUACUUUGAAACUGAAUGAUUGCAGAGAACUUGAGAGUCUUCCAAGCAUCAUUUCUCACAUGAAAUCUCUUAAAUACCUUGAUGUUUCUGGAUGCUCAAAGCUUGAGAAGUUUCCAGAAAUUUUGGAGGUUAUGAAGAAGCUAUCUGAGCUUUGUUUGGGUGGCACUGCAAUUAAGAAGCUGCCUGCUUCUAUUUUAAAUCUCACCAGUCUUGGUAGGUUGAGGCUGAAUAAUUGCAGAGAACUUGAGAGUCUUCCAAGCAGCAUUUCUCACAUGAAAUCUCUUAAAUACCUUGAUGUUUCUGGAUGCUCAAAGCUUGAAAAGUUUCCAGAAAUUUUGGAGGUUAGGAAGAAGCUAUCUGAGCUUUGUUUGGGUGGCACUGCAAUUAAGGAGCUGCCUGCUUCUAUUUUAAAUCUCAUCAGUCUUGUUAGGUUGAGGCUGAAUAAUUGCAGAGAACUUGAGAGUCUUCCAAGCAGCAUUUCUCACAUGAAAUCUCUUAAAUACCUUGAUGUUUCUGGAUGCUCAAAGAUUGAGAAGUUUCCAGAAAUUUUGGAGGUUAGGAAGGAGCUAUCUGAUCUUUGUUUGGGUGGCACUGCAAUUAAGGAGCUGCCUGCUUCUAUUUUAAAUCUCACCAGUCUUGUUACUUUGAAUUUGAAUGAUUGCAGAGAACUUGAGAGUCUUCCAAGCAGCAUUUCUCACAUGAAAUCUCUUGAGUACCUUGAUGUUUCUGGAUGCUCAAAGAUUGAGAAGUUUCCAGAAAUUUUGGAGGUUAGGAACGUGCUAUCUAAGCUUUGUUUGGGUGGCACUGCAAUUAAGGAGCUGCCUGCUUCUAUUUUAAAUCUCACCAGUCUUGUUACUUUGAAUUUGAAUGAUUGCAGAGAACUUGAGAGUCUUCCAAGCUGCAUUUCUCACAUGAAAUCUCUUGAAUACCUUGAUGUUUCUGGAUGCUCAAAGCUUGAGAAGUUUCCAGAAAAUUUGGAGGUUAUGAAUGAGCUAUCUGAGCUUUGUUUGGGUGGCACUGCAAUUAAGGAGCUGCCUGCUUCUAUUUUAAAUCUCACCAGUCUUGUUACUUUGAAGUUGAAUGAUUGCGGAGAACUUGAGAGUCUUCCAAGCAUCAUUUCUCACAUGAAAUCUCUUAAAUACCUUGAUGUUUCUGGAUGCUCAAAGCUUGAGAAGUUUCCAGAAAUUUUGGAGGUUAGGAAGGAGCUAUCUAAGCUUUGUUUGGGUGGCACUGCAAUUAAGAAGCUGCCUGCUUCUAUUUUAAAUCUCACCAGUCUUGAUACUUUGAAACUGAAUGAUUGCAGAGAACUUGAGAGUCUUCCAAGCAGCAUUUCUCACAUGAAAUCUCUUAAAUACCUUGAUGUUUCUGGAUGCUCAAAGCUUGAGAAGUUUCCAGAAAUUUUGGAGGUUAUGAAGAAGCUAUCUGAGCUUUGUUUGGGUGGCACUGCAAUUAAGAAGCUGCCUGCUUCUAUUUUAAAUCUCACCAGUCUUGGUAGGUUGAGGCUGAAUAAUUGCAGAGAACUUGAGAGUCUUCCAAGCAUCAUUUCUCAGAUGAAAUCUCUUGAAUACCUUGAUGUUUCUGGAUGCUCAAAUCUUGAGAAGUUUCCAGAAAUUUCAGAGGUUAUGAAGGAGCUAUCUAUUCUUUGUUUGGGUGGCACUGCAAUUAAGGAGCUGCCUGCUUCUAUUUUAAAUCUCACCAGUCUUGUUACUUUGAAUUUGAAUGAUUGCAGAGAACUUGAGAGUCUUCCAAGCAGCAUUUCUCACAUGAAAUCUCUUGAGUACCUUGAUGUUUCUGGAUGCUCAAAGAUUGAGAAGUUUCCCGAAAAUUUGGAGGUUAUGAAGAAGUUUCUCACAUGAAAUGUACUAAAAAAUGGUCUCUUGCAUUAUAGGGAGAAUGAACAACUAUCCAAGUAUGGAGAUGCAAAGUUUGCCCGGGCAAUCAUGUUAGUAGAACUUAAGAAACUGAUUGAAGUGAAUUCGUUAUUCAGUGAUAUAUUGCAGUUCCCAAACCGUAAGCGUUCGAGGAUACCGACUCUCAUUAACCAAGGGUAAUUACUCUGAAACCACGACUUCGGUUAUACAAGAUUAGCUGUGCACUACAUUGUGACUUAUGGAUGUUGUUGCAUAUACUGGUAUUGUUCUAAUGAUUCCACGUAGCGAAUGAGUGCUUUUGUUUUCUGUUGCACUCAGAAUGAGAAUUUCAUCAAGUUGAUAGCACUAGCUAUCGUUUACAUACAUUGUACAUUGUCUAUAUGGCUAUCAAAAAGGGGGUUAUGGCUUGAAUUCUGUGGAAACAAAAUGAAGUCCUUAAUAUUGUUGCAAUGCCCAAAUCAUGUGCCUUUGUAAGAACCCAAGACCAUGUACAAGUAUAGAAACACUUUAUGUGAAUCACUCGUGUGGACAACCAAACCAUGCACAGGCACCAUCACGUGCAAACAACACCGCUGCUUGGAAUCAAAGAGGGUGCGGUCAUGAUGACGUCUCUGAGUAAGGAGCUCGUGUUCCUGAUCUUGCAGUUUCUGGAUGAGGAAAAAUUCAAAGAGACUAUUCUCCACAGGUAGGGCUGAUUUAUGUAUCUUUAAUUAAUGCGUUUUUGUUGGCACAAUUGCUAAUUAUGUACUGAUAUACUGCGUCAUUAAUUGCCUUUGUGAUGUAAAUACUAAAUAGGCUAGAGCAGGAAUCUGGGGUUUUCUUCAAUACGAAAUAUUUUGAGGAUGAGGUGCAUAAUGGCAAUUGGGAUGAAGUUGAGAACUACCUCUCUGGGUUCACUAAAAUGGAAGAUAACAGUUAUUCCAUGAAAAUCUUUUUCAAGAUAAGGAAGCAGAAGUAUCUCGAGGCAUUGGACAAGUAAGCUUACAGUAUUUCAAUUUCAGUUCAUUGAUAACUUUCAUGGGUUGGAUUGCCUGGCCGGUCUUGAGGAAUUAUAUGGUUGAAUUACAUAUAAUGUGCCUGUUUGGACUUUAUAGGCAUGAUUGGUCCCAAGCCUUGGAUAUUCUAGUAAAGGAUUUAAAGUUUUUUGCCACAUUCGAUGAACUUUCGGGGGAAAUCGCUCAGCUUUCGACAUUGUAAAACUUUAGGUAUGAGAAUUCCAUUAUAUGAAUAGUCUCUGUAGAAAACAGUUGUAGCAAAUGCACUAAAAAAUUCUCUUGCAUUAUAGGGAGAAUGAACAACCAUCCAAGUAUGGAGAUUCAAAGUCUGCCAGGGCAAUCAUGUCGGUUGAACUUAAGAAACUGAUUGAAGCAAAUCCCUUAUUCAGUGAUAAAUUUCAGUUCCCAAACUUAAAGCGUUCGAGGCUACGUACUCUCAUUAACCAAGGGUAAUUACUCUGAAACCACGACUUCAGUUAUAUAAGAUUAGCUGUGCACUUCAUUGUGACGUGCGGAUGUUGUUGCAAAUACUGGUCUUGCUCUAAUGAUUCCACGUACGGAAUGAGUGCUUUUGUCUUCUGUUGCAUUCAGAAUGAGCAUUUCAUCAACUAGCUAAUGAGUUUAUCGUUUAAGUACAUUGUCGAUUUGGAUAUCAAAAAGUUGGUUAUGGCUUGAAUUCUGUGGAAACAAAAGGAAGUCAUUAUUAUUGUUGCAAUGCCUAAAUCAUGUGCCUUAAUCUUAAUUUAGUAUAUGGUUCAUUACUGCUUGAUUCCAGCGUCUGGUGUCAAGAUUCUUUUAUUUGUUAGUGACCGGUGUCAGAAGUUUCCACACACCAGUAACAAUUAUUUGUGCAAAUUAUGACCUUUCUGGCAGCAUAAGCUUUUGUAAGAAUCCAAGUCCAGAUCUAGUUAUAGAAACACUUUAUGUGGACAACUGAACCGUGCACGGACAGCAUCACCUGCAAACAACCCGCUGCUUGGAUCCUUACCAAAAGCUGGAGGGUAUCCCCCACUAGGUGGGUGCACAUGAAGUAAGUAAUCUAGCUUAACUGUUGAUACACUACUUAAGCAGACACUUUGUUGUUAUUAACUUUUUGUUGAUGUGAUUGGCUUUGCAUUGUCAGCAUUUUCAACCUACACCAGCCCCGGUUCCAAUACCCCUUUCAACUGUUACUCAUCCAGCAUUUCUGAAGGAGGAGGUAUUGCUCUUGCUGGUCCAUCGAUAACAGGUAUUGCUUUUGUUAAUACUCAAGCACUUAGUUUUCAUAUAUCAUGAUCCCGGUAAGAUGGUUCUUGAUUGUGGUGUUUCAUGAUCCCAAUAAGAUGGUUUUUAAUUGUGGUGUUUCAUUACCUUGUAUAGAUGCCUUGAAACAUCCAAGGACUCCCCAACUAAUCCUUCUGUGGAGUACCCGUCUUGGGAUUCUUAUCAUGUUUCUAAAAGAACAAGGCUGAUGGGGCUGUCUACUGAAGUAUGUACAUAUUUGAUCUUUGAACGAUGAUCUCUAUAUUCGUCCACAUUUACCUUUUAUUUGUACUUGACAGUUUGUUCUUUAGUGCAGGUUAAUCUCCCUGUUAACAUGUUGCCAGUAACAUUUUCAGGACACGGUCAUGGUCAAGCUUUGAAUGCACCUGAUGACUUGCCUAAGAAUGUCACUCAGGACUUUGAAUCAGGGUUCAUCUCCGAUGAGCAUGGAUUUUCAUCCUUCACAGCGGACUUUUCUUCUUGGUUUGUAUUUUUUAUGUUUUCAAGUAGCUCCUUAUAUUUAUUUGUGUACCUUCGGGCUCUACAGCUAUGUUUGCUAAUUGGGUUUUUUUUUUCCCUUGGAUGCUUGGUUAUCAUAAUUGACUGUUGAUUGUUCUCAAUGUGAUGCUUCAGUUGGUACCAAUGUGGGGGACGUAGGCCUGUGGGAAGUUGGAUCUAGGGAGCGACUAGUUUUAAGGAACUUCAAAGUAUGGGAUCUUAGUUCAUGCUCAAUGCUCCUGCAGGUCUUUCCCUUUCUAUACUUGUUCAUGUGACAUAAAAAUUGUGUGCACUGUAUUCGUUGUGGAUGUAUGAGUUGGUUGACUGAAAAGUAAAUUUGUCUUUGUGAAACAGGCUGCUCUAGUUAAGGAUGCUGGUGUGUCUGUUAACCGUGUGAUUUGGAGCUCUGAUGGUGCUUUAUUUGGUAAGCUUGAGCAAACUCAAGUAACUGUGGCAAAUGUGAUAUGGCUUUAUCAAUUUUUAAGGAUUGAAUUAGAUCCUAAUCGUUGUAUAUCAUUUACAAUCCAAUCGUAGGUUGUUGGGAACAAUUGAGAAUCAUCUUUCUUACGAUGGGUCUGAUGGACGAUAAUUACUCUGAUCGAUUGCUUCCUGAUUGUUUGUGAUCACUGCCUGCUGUAAUCCCUGCAGAAAUCAUAUCUGUUAAAAUACCUUCCGUAUAUGCAUUUUCUGUAUACAAAGUCGACUUGUACAUUGAGGCUUUAUUAGCCUAUAUAAUGAAUGAAGAUCACAACCUCAAUUCACUGAGGAAUUCAACCACAUAGCUGUUAUGCCAUUAACUCCAUGAUGUAAAAUCAAUGGUCACAGGCACAAGUGCCGAUGAUGGGGGUUUUGUGGCUGUGGCAGUGGGUCUUCUCUAGGGUUUUUCUUCGCACACCCUAAGAGAGAGAAAAAUCAUGUUGAAAGAAAAUUUUCCAUUCAGAUUUUUCAUUUUUUAUUAAGAUAAUUAAAAUCUAAUUUAAAUAUGGGUUAUUGGCCCAAAAAAAUUAAUUCGGUUGACCAAAGUUUUUUUUUUUAUUAUUAUUAUUGGCGAGUCGUCUAUUGCUGUUUUAAGAAUAGCAUUAAAAUCAAAUAUGUUCUGUGACUGAAUGAAAUGCAAAUUACUCUAUGGUAAAGCUGGAGUGGAAAACACUGUUCAUUAACAGUGUUUUCACGAAAAUGCCCUUCAUUUUUUCCGUUAUUCCCUGCUUUUUUCUAACGUUGAACUUUAUGUUCAGAAAAUUGCCCUUAGUUACCUCUUGGCUGAGUGCUCACACGUGUUACGGGGGACGGGUGGAAUCUUUAUCAUCGUAGAAAUCGCUAAUCUCUUCGAUUUCUUUAUUUACUUGCUAACUGUGUUGACUUGACAACUGCUUUCGUUUCAUUUUUAGAAUGAAAAUUUGAAUUUUGUGCGUGUGUGCAGUGAAAGUCAUUAAAUCAUUGUUCAAAAAAAUCGACAGCGCUAAACGACUGGUCAUUAUCACAAUUAAUUUGUUGGUGUUUUAAAAUUGAGAAAUAACAUCUAGAUCUGUUUAGACAUCUGCUUUGCUUGCCCAAUGCUCGCUUAGCAUGCCUUGGUUGUGACCAUCACUUAUACAAAAAAUUAAUAAUUUUUAUUUUACAUUUUAUUUUUUAUUUUUUCAAUAAAAUGUAAGAGACUUGUUGAAUACUCGAAUGAACACUCAUUAUAUAUUUGUUCCAAUGUUCUCAAUAUAUUUUAAUACCUUAUAAUGAGGACUUUAAUGAAAAGGGCUUGGACUAAGACUAUUUUAAUAAAAAACCAGUCUAUAUUUUUAUUUAACUAAAAGCACCUCAAAAUUAACCAUAAGGACAUACCUGCAAAUUCUACACAGGCUGAAUUACAAAGCCCAAAAUGUUCAAAAUUAAGGUUCCAAAAUUAUCCCUAACAGAAAGAAUCUGCAGCCCGUUAAAAACUUCAAUAUAAUUACAACCCUACCCCCCACGUUGGCACGAUCUCACCGACUGAGAUUAUAUAACUUUUGGCACUGAAUCAAUGAUACAGAUUUCAAUUAAUUUUGAUCAAUGAUUGUUGCCCCACCGUUUCCUAUCUUCAGCAUAAAUUGGUUGUGUGUGUGUGUAUGUGUGUGUGUAUAAAAUACUACUGUCGGCUGCCUGGUGUAGGCAUAUUGUGACACACCCCGACCUAAAUCAGGACAUAUUGGUCAUCAUAUGGGUGUGACGUAACCAUGUGCACAGUGCGGAAGCAAUAGAGAUUUAAGGGAAUUGCGAAGGAAUAAAAACCAAACUACUAGCAAAACUAGUUAAGAUAGAGUGUUAGUGCGAGAUUAAACGUGAAAUACACAACCAGAGCAUAAAUAGUCUAAGUGCAGUCAAGCAGGACAAGUACUAAUAAUACAACACUCAAGGGUGAUCCUAUAUGGUGAUGUUGUAACCUGUAAAAAAAGUGAAGAAGCCUUGAUGUAGGACAGAAGUCUGAUUAUUUCAUGUGCAAUAAAACUAAAAGAAGGAAGCGGCGAGCAAUAAAGAAAAGUGAUUGGAGAAUUGAUAAUUCACGUGUUAAUAGAUUAUUUGCUACGGUCAUAUCUCAGAAGUUGAUGUUUUGAACUUUUCUUGUUGAAUGAACGCUAUUUUCAUUUCUGGUGCGGUUGUAGAAGAGGUGUUCAAUACUCCCACAAAAGUGGCUUGAGCCAUCUUUUGCAGAAAGUCAUUAAGACAGCAGCCUACUAAUAAAUGUAAUCUUUUGGGGUUUCAAGGGCUUUAUUAUAUGUUAGUUAUUUUCAUUUUAAUUUCCUAAGUCUUUUGAGUUUCCCAAAAGGUUGUAAAAGGCUUAUUUAAGCCAUGGCUUUCUAAUCAUUUCGACAUAUUUCAAUCAAUUAAUCAAAUUAUCCCUUGGGAUUUCUAUCAAUUGGUGGACUCUAGGGACUCUAGUAACUUUGUUCUACAAGGGAUUACGCUGGUAACCCUUUCAUUGCUUCGUGCUGCGUCAAUUGGUACCAGAGCGGGUUUCUCCCGUCUUGGCAUUGUUGAUUAUCCUAUUUGCUCUGUUCUAAUGGCAAUCGAUCGUGGGAAAAGGUAUACCUUAAGUGACGUUGAUCGCGAGGUUGUUACAAUAGAUGUGGUGUGCACAAAGGGAGCCAAUCUCAUAUAGUUGAUGUUGAAGAUAUUCCUAUUUUCUUCGGAAGUGAUUGCAUUGAAGGUUUUCUCUAGUGGGUUGAGGAUGUAGAAAAACUUUUCAAGACACAACCAAUUCCGGAAAGAGAUAUGGUGAAGAUGGUUACUUCUUGUUUAGAUGGUGACGUGGUUUUAUGGUGUGAUCAUAUGCAAGAAUCUAGGCGACAACAAGGUAAAUGUCCUAUCCAAACUUGGCGUUGGUUGAAGCGACUAAUUGUUAAGCAAUUCUUUUCCGAUUUAUACGAAUUGUAUUUGGAAAAGACGGGUCAACCAAUCAUCAGAAAAGAAGCUAAAGUGAUGGAGAGUGAUAUAUCAUUAUGCCAAGAAACGGUGGAGGCCAAGGUGGAAGAAAAAGAACAAGUAAUUUUCCUUGGUGAAAAUCUCGUUGAUGAAGAUCUCCGGAAACAUGACAACUCAGAAGUGGAGACUCAAGAAAUUCAAGGUAUGAGUGAAUCAAAAUUUGUCAUGACUUUGGAGAAUCAUGAGUCUAGUAAAUUGGAUCUAAAUUCUAUCGUUGACCAAACAAGAUAAUUGGGUAAGGAAGAAUAUUUUGAUUCCCAAUUGCCAUAUUUCAAUCUUAUUUAUGGAAUUAAUUUCAUGAUUAUUCCACCCAAGUAUACGGAAAGUUGGGCUUCUCAAGUUGAAGAACUUAUUUUCUUAACAAGGGAGUUAUCUACUAGCUAUCAAGACCGUUUCAAGACGAACUCGAGGUCGAGUUCCUUUCAAGUGGAGGAGUCUGAUGUAGGACAGAAAUCUGAUUAUUUCACGUGCAAUAAAACUAAAAGAAGGAAGCGGCGAGCAAUAAAGAAAAGUGAUUGGAGAAUUGGUAAUUCACGUGUUAAUAGAUUAUUUGGUACGGUCAUAUCUCAAAAGUUGAUGUUUUGAACUUUUCUUGUUGAAUGAACGCUACUUUCAUUUCUGGUGCGGUCGUAGAAGAGGUGUUCAAUUCUCCCACAAAAGUGGCUUGAGCCAUCUUUUGCAGAAAGUCAUCAAGACAGCAGCCUACUAAUAAAUGAAGUCUUUUGGGGUUUCAAGGGCUUUAUUAUAUGUUAGUUAUUUUCAUUUUAAUUUCCUAAGUCUUUUGAGUUUCCCAAAAGAUUGUAAAAGACUUAUUUAAGCCAUGGCCUUGUAAUCAUUUCGACGUCUUUCAAUCAAUUAAUCAAAUUAUCCUUUAGGAUUUCUAUCAACUGGUGGACUCCACUAACUUUGUUCUACAAGGGAUUACGCUGGUAACCCUUUCAUUGCUUCGUGCUGCGUCAAGCUUUUUCCAAAAAAAAAAACAAAAAUAAAUGCACCUAGAAAUUCAAAAUAAGAAAAAUAAAUAAUAGACUCAAUGUGGAGAUCAAUGUGAAGAUCAAUUGAGUGUUUCAGUUCUUACUUUACUCUUAGAUACUCGAUCGCUUAAUGGCUGCUGCUGCAUCUUCUUCUUCUAGCGGUUGCCACAAUUAAUUGCUGGCACCAACCUGUGGGUUCAAUUAGCAAUUACUGUGAGUAAAAACUGCAGUUUUACUUUAUGCUGCAACAUGCAGGGGACAAGUAUCUAAACCAGCUGCAACAUAUCAGACGGAGUUUGGAGGCUUGGCGUGGAAGGACGGAGUUCACAGGGUAAUUACUUUAUGCUGCAAGUUUAAUCCUAAUGCGCAUUUUGCAAUAGUUUUUAGCAGUGGAGCCUAAAGAUGGUCAGUUUUGGUCUAUUAUAUGCUCUACCUCUGUAUCUAAUUUCUUUUUUUGUUAUCAAUAAUGUUUUUUUGUAUCACCGUAAUUAAAAAAAAAAUGAUCCACCCCUAUAUGCUUCGGUGAAAUUCCUAAGAAUUAUAUUAGAACGCCACUUAAUAGUUUAUACGACGAUCUAAUAGAUUUUGGUCCUAAGUUGAAUCUUGUAAAUAGCUAAAUUAUUUACCACUGAUCUUGAAUAACUGUUUGUAAUUAUCCUUUCACAUUUGGGUCUUUUCCCCAAUCACUUUUGUUUAUUGUGGUUGUUGCCAUGCUACUUCUCAAAUGCUUCCACAUUUCAACCUAAAAUAAUGCAUUAUUGACAGUUGAAUAGUCAUUGUUAUAAUCUAUUGGAUAGUCUUUGUCAUUUUGUGUUUGUUUCUUUUCUCUUUCCCUCUCUUUCACUGCACCUUCCCUGUGGAGCCAAAAAUAUUCACUAGGCGACACGUGGACUUUUGGACAAAAGAGGACAAAAAUACCCUCGAGGCAUACUGGGUUUCCUACACGCGAGCAGUAGAGAAUCAUUUUUUCAACCAAGUCAAAAGUGCCCAAAAUAGGUAUCAACUUAAAACCUAAUUUAUUCAUAUAUUUCCCAUUUCAUUAUUUAGCUAAUCAAUUAGCUAAAUAAUAUACUUAUUCCUUUCAUAUUUCAUAAAAUCAUAAUAAUUGACUAAUUAAGGGAUUAAUUACCUAAUCAAUCCCUUAAUUGUCAAUUUGAAACAUCCACUCAAACCUAAAAACACAAGAGGGCCGGCUAUCCCAUUGAAAAACCUAAUCCAUUACCUUUUUUCUACCUUUUCCCACCAUUUCUUCCUUUUUAUUAGCCAAUUAUACAAAAAACCACCAAAACAUUCAUUUUAUGUUUAAUAGCCAAAUAAAUUGGCUAAUUAAACCUAAAAACCCUAGCCACCUCCUAUCCCUAUAAAUAUACUCCCAUUCUCACCAAAAAGCUAAUUCCAACACUUUGGCAAAAAUCCCAAAAUUCUCUAAACACUCUUUCUCUCUAAAUUCUAACUUUGGCAUCGGAGGUUCUUCGGCCAAAGCCCCCCCAUUCAUCGUGGGCGCGUGAGGCUCUUGGCCUUAACCUAAGGUGUUAAUUGUUUUGUAGGUGCAAAAUCGUCCAAGAUCGAGGAGGAAGAAAUUUGCAUCCACAAAUUGGUGCUUUCAUUGAGAGUUGAAAUCCAUACUCGUAGAAGACUCUCGCACAAAAAAGGUUUUUUCUUUAUUUUCUAGUCCAUUUGAAUAUUUUUCAUACGUUUUUAUUAUUAGAAUUUUUUACUUGCAAAGGUUCUUUGAUAAAACGUAUAAGCGAAAUAUAAUGGCUAGAAAUUUAGAAAAUUCCACAAGUGAAAAUUCUAAUGUUCAAGAAAUGGGAUUGCGGAGAUCCGUGAUGCUAAAUGCGACAAUAAGGGGAGCGGCAUCAUCAUCACGAGCUUCAACCAUGGGAACCACCGUGGUGGCUACUUCGGUAGCUACCUGCGGCGAGGUCCAUGGUGCCUUCACCACGGCCACCAUGGGAACCACCGCGGUGGCUACUUCGGUAGCCACUCGUGGCGAGGUCCAUGGAGCCUUCACCACGACCCGGAGAUCCGUAAGGCAAAAUGCGACAAUAAGGGGAGCGGCAUCAUCACCACGAGCUUCCACCAUGGGAACCACCGUGGUGGCUACCUCGGUAGCCACCCACGGCGAGGUCCAUGAUGCCUUCACCACGGCCACCAUGGGAACCACCACGAUGGCUACUUCGGUAGCCACUCGUGGCGAGGUCCAUGGAGCCUUCACCACGGCCCGAGCCGUGCCAUCCAAGGCUCACGGUACCAAGACCACGAUCCAAGCCGUGUCAUCCAAGUUCACGUGGACCCAAGCCCAAGCCUCGCAUUCACAUGCACCGCGCAUUGAGCAGCCUGCUCCCGUGAUCCAGCCUGCUCCCGUCGAGCAACCCACUCCCGUGGCCCAGCCUGCUCCUGCCAAGCAGCCCACUCCCGUGGCCCAGCCUACUCCUGCCAAGCAGCCUACUUCCGUGGCCCAGCCUGCUCCCGCCAAGCAACCUGCUCCUGCCAAGCAGCCUGCUUCCGUGGCCCAGCCUGCUCCCGCCAAGCAACCUGCUCCUGCCAAGCAGCCUGCUCUCGUGACCCAGCCUGCUCCCAACGAGCAGCCCACUCCCGACGAGCAGCCCACUCUCAAGGCCCACACUGCUCCCGUGGCUUUCCAAGCAGCCCAAGUCGGCCCAAAACUAUCUCAACCAUCUGGACCUACCAUCGAGCCGGGGGCAUUCUCACCACAUUUUUUUGCGGAUUUGACAUUUCCCAACUCAAAUCUCGCGCCCGGAGUCUACCACCCUUCCACUGCUCAAUGAGGCGCAUUCAUUCCAAGCUCUUCCAAUCCAAAUGGUGAACAACAUUUGUCUCGACAAGUCAUAGAGUUGACGAGCGCCCUUGCACAACAGACAACUUUGGUGAAUCAACUUUUGCAACGCAUCGGGAUCCAACGUGCCCCGGACGAGGUAUCCCGAAGUAGGACAAGGGCAGACGAACCUUUCCAGCAGCAUCCCAGCAAGCAGCCAUUCGACCAGCCACGAGCUGAACGUUCAGGCAGUGUACAUUCCCGAUUGGGCCCCCGAGAUAGCGUAUACUCCCGUUUUAGCGCGCGGAUGAGCGUGUACUCUCGACUAAGCCAACGGAUGAGCAUACAUUCACGGUUGGGGUCACACUUCGAUAGUCAACAUGAGCAACCUUCCAGACAAAUUGUUCAUUCGCGGCUAAGCCCACAAGGAGCAUCAUCCACCUCACAUCAGAAUAGGCAGCACGACGGACGGAGAGAAGCAGUCACUCAAUCCAGCUCAAGUUCAACCAGCAGCCUGCGAAGAACUCGCUCGCCUGCUAGGAAUGCACCAUAUGCACUGCAUCUGCGGCAUAGACGAGUCAAACACAUGGAAGAGCAGCCUAGACCAGCAAGUCAUGGCUGGGGGCAGCCGAGAGCUGCACUACCCCAACAAAGGCAAAUUCAGGAAGAAGUAGAGAGACUCUUGACCAAGCGAUUGCAUGAUUUCCAACGCAAUGAGGUCACCGACGAGGCACUACGACGGAACAUGACCAACAUAAGCAGGUCACCCUUCACGGACGAGAUCGAGCAGGCAGAGCCUCCACGAGAGUUCAGCAUGCCACAUUUCACAUCUUUCAAAGGGGAUGAAGACCCGGAGAGACACUUAAAGCGCUACCGAAGCGCGAUGAUCCUUUAUCGAAACAACGAUGAGCUCAUGUGCAAGAUAUUCGCCACCACUCUACAAGGCGAGGCGCAAGAUUGGUUCUACACCUUGCCGCCACAAUCCAUCCGGGAUUUCUACGAACUUUCUUUGGUUUUCACCAAAGAAUAUUCAUCCUAUCGCUCGAUCAAAAAGAAGUCUGAUCAUUUGUUCAACGUCAAGAAGAACCCAAAGGAGGCGCUUCGCGACUAUGUGAGGAGGUUCAAAGUAGAGAAGGCAAAAAUAGUCGGAUGCAACGACUCGAUAGCUAGAGCAGCCUUCCAAAAAGGACUUCCAGCAAACCACCCGCUAUUCGGAAAAUUGAUCAUGAAAGAAGAUCUAACUCUGGCAGACUCUUUUGCUUUGGCGGAGAAGUAUGCACUUUGGGAUGAGGCUCGCCAAUGCACAUUCAAGGACUUGAAGAAGUACCCGACAUCACCUCCCUAGAAGCAGCGGAGGACUUAUUCACAUGUUUGACGUUAUCUAAAGUAGCAAUAAGCUCUACCAUCAUGCGAGAAGAUAUGGGGGCCUGACUACCUGUAUUCCACAGUUACCUGUAGUCUACAGUUCAAAAGCUCUCCUCGAUGUUAUUAAAAAUUCAAAAGUUAACUUUGGCGAUAGUUGUUGCAACCUAGAAGCACAAAUUUUACUUUCAAACGCAUGCAAUCAUCCUAAUGACGUACUAUUCUGCCCAAUCCAGACGCGCGACGAUAAAGGCGUAGACCCUGGCGGAUGUAAAGUUUUCUGACGAACGCAACACUGGAAAGACACACUUGAAAGCAAGUUUUGUCCUCGUCACCCUGAAAGAUUCUACAUAGGAGCAACAUGUACCGGCAGUUGAGUACCAUUUCUUGCUGCGCAUCAUACGGCCCUAGCCGACCCUUGCUCAAUGAUUCAACUCUAGAGUGGCCCAAUACCGGCAGUUGAGCAUCUCCUGUUGCGUAUGACAUGGCCCCAUCUCCACAGCUCCCUACUGCGCCUUCACGCCGAGCCUAGGUGACGCAACAGAGCGGCUCAACGAUGCCUCAGAAGUAGCCGAGCACACUCUAGCUGCGCAUACUCCACCCGAUGGAGACUUCUGGCAUUUGCAUGUCGACGGCGCAGAAAAACCUUCAUCACUGCCGGCAGAGAAGGCUCCAAAAAGAUGGAUCCCAUCUGGGAAGGUCCGUACAAGAUCAGCAGAGUAGGGGGCUAGAGUAAUUACACCCUCACCACCAUGAAGCGGUAAAAAGAUUGAAAAAAAAAUGGAUGGCCUACAAUCUGAAGAAGUACCAUGUGUGACCUCCCGCUACAUCAAAACCCGAAAACUCAAUAAGCUCGACGGGCACCACCUCACAAGCUGAGGAUUAUCCAGUUGUUAUGCAGUUCCUACCUUACAGCUAAAGUUCUCGUUCGUUUCACUCGUUUUUCAAUGAGGAAUUUAGAAGUAAUCACAACUUGGCUUGGCUGCAUGCUUACAACAAUUAAUCACUCUUGCACUUCAAAAGAAGACUGCACCCUUCUUAGGGACUCAUCGCAGGAAUUGCGCCCCCCGAGGGACCAACCAUGCUCUCCAGUGUGAGAGGGUAAACCAAUUCUCCGACACCCAUAUGGGUCAGCUCUCCAAGACGGGAGGAUAAACUUUACACUCCGAAUAUCCAGACGUGGAUGAGCCUGGCUGCCCUAGUAUAACUAGAUGCACGAUGGCUUGCGCCGGGAUUCCUAGAAGUAGCCGCAAUGGUCUUUUUCAAGGUUUAGCUAACUGAAGGAUUUUGGGUCUCUUGGCCUAAUCCGUGGGGAACCGGGCCCUAGAGACGGAGAGGGCACAUUACGCAGUAUAUCCGAUGGACGGCUGCCCUGGAAUCCUAAAGCUGCUACCGAGUGCACUAAGGUAGCCUACGGAUUCCGGAAGACUGCCUACGGCUUGCCCUUCGAGCAGUGAAGCCGCACUAGACUUAUACAACCGCACAUUCUUGUGAAAGGUUAGACAAGCUAGCGCGCAUAUAUGAAGUUUUAUCCACUGCCGACAUGCUACGUAGUCGAUAAGCUUCACCCCUGCCAAGCGCGGAACAACCUACACCAAGUCCUAAAGUGUGUGUGAUACUUGCUACGCAACCUACGGAAUUGAAGAAAGUCAAAGUUAACAGCCUAGUGGUUACGCGGACUUGUCUGCUUCUCUGUAAGUAAGGCAUCCGGCUGCCAACCCUAUGGCUAACAACUUUGCAAAGUUCUACACCAACACCUACGGCUGCAUAGGCUACGCGAGUUUGUCUGCUUAUAAAAAAGUAGCAUGCCUGCCACUGGUCUAUCAAGUCUAAAUGUUAGGGCAUGAACAAAAGAAGUGAAGAUGAAGAAAAACGAAGGAAAACAUGUUUAUAAACAACUAGCAAAGGUUGAAGGAGUUCAAGCAAAACAAAAGCUACAAGGAAAAACAAAGAAAAUCCUAAAGGCUACCUAAAAUACUACACUAGCAGCUUGGACAUUCCACGACUACUCGGUCGCCACACCUUCAACAGCCGUAACGCUCUUAGCAGCGGCAUCAUCCGGCGCUUCACCCCCGGCUGCCCCAGUCUGGGCACUAACUUCUCCAACUACUUCACCAAUGGAAGCCUUAAAAGUAAAAGCAAGCAAGUCUUCCGGAGAAAUAGAGAAGCUCAUCCACUUUCUUCUUAGCAUAAGUAGCGAAACGAAGCUCAUAAAUUGCAAGCUUAAGAUCUUGAAUCUGAGGCGAAUCAAUCUCAGCAGCAAAGGGAGCAGGCUUUGGCGCCACUUUAGCAGCAGAGUCCACCUUACCACUUUUCAUAAUAGCAAGUCUCUACAAAGGUGAACCGGACUUGGCUCCCAAAGAACGUCCUACAGACUUCGGCACUGGGGGCAUGAUAAAACCUUUACGCUGAGUAAUCUUAUCCACAAUUGUACUAGCCAUUCUCAACAUGGAAGACGCCACAUGCUCAGAUCUAGCAGCCUUACAUUUCUUCCCAUUGGAAAAUCAUGUCAAUCACAUACCUCUCGGUAGCAAGCGGACCCUCAUGAGCAGCAGAAGAAGUCUUCAGUUUUUUCUUAACUGGCAUCUCAUGAGCAGGCGGGGAAGAUCUCUUCUUUCCAUCUUCAUUCAUAGUAAGCUCCACGACAGCGAUCAGACGAGCCAAUGCAUCCGCCUUGAUCCUCUUUACCUCUUCUUUCUGGAGCAGCCCACCUUUCUUUCGGCAAAGAGGACUAAGCAGCCAACGACAUUCAUGGUACUCAGCAGGGGAGCUCAACCCAGCAUUCCAACAGGCAGGAGGCCUGCAUGCCCAACAUUCCAGCAGCCCAUGAGACCCGCAAUCUCCUUAUUUCUCUCAAUCACCAGCCUAGCCCGAGUCAGGUCCAAGAGCCCAAAGGACAUGAGCCAUGCGGCUCGCCUAGCACUGCGCCCCAGCGCCACAAUCCGCGACCCUAGUUGCACAAGCUGCCUUUUGGCUCAAGCCAAGCCAAGCUGCCCAAGCAGUGGUCCCUGCCACAACAUCUCCUCGGCCCAUGCCGAGCCAACUCCUGGCCCCUGCCAGCCGAUGUGCCGCACCACCCCGACGGCUGCCCCGCAAUAGCACUAUCCAAGAAUAAGGCAAGAAAAAUUAAAUUUUUCUUACAUCGGUGCGGCACGAAGAAGACGAAGAAAGCAACGAAAGACGGUCCUUUGCACGGGCAAGAUGUAGAAGAUUGCUAGAGGAGGGGGAACAAAUAUCCUCUAAGCUAUCUCUCUCUUGUAGGGUAGAAUAAAUCGCUCUCCAAAGUUGAUUUAAUAACCCACUUAAGGUGGACUUAAAUAGGCUUUGAGAGAAAUUUAUUUCCCUUUCCUAGAAGGAUCUAAUUUUCCUAUUAAAGAGAGAAAUCAACAUCAAAAUAGGAAGCAGUCUUAAGUUUCCUAAAGCAAGAAGAUCUCUACACCUGCUGCCCUUUUUUGCGAGCAGCCCAACAGGUGUGGGGGCAUUUGUGGAGCCAAAAAUAUUCACUAGGCGACACGUGGACUUUUGGACAAAAGAGGACAAAAAUACCCUCGAGGCAUACUGGGUUUCCUACACGCGAGCAGUAGAGAAUCAUUUUUUUCAACCAAGUCAAAAGUGCCCAAAAUAUGUAUCAACUUAAAAACCUAAUUUAUUCAUAUAUUUCCCAUUUCAUUAUUUAGCUAAUCAAUUAGCUAAAUAAUAUACUUAUUCCUUUCAUAUUUCAUAAAAUCAUAAUAAUUGACUAAUUAAGGGAUUAAUUACCUAAUCAAUCCCUUAAUUGUCAAUUUGAAACAUCCACUCAAACCUAAAACACACAAGAGGGCCGGCUAUCCCAUUGAAAAACCUAAUCCAUUACCUUUUUUCUACCUUUUCCCACCAUUUCUUCCUUUUUAUUAGCCAAUUAUACAAAAAACCACCAAAACAUUCAUUUUAUGUUUAAUAGCCAAAUAAAUUGGCUAAUUAAACCUAAAAACCCUAGCCACCUCCUAUCCCUAUAAAUAUACUCCCAUUCUCACCAAAAAGCUAAUUCCAACACUUUGGCAAAAAUCCCAAAAUUCUCUAAACACUCUUUCUCUCUAAAUUCUAACUUUGGCAUCGGAGGUUCUUCGGCCAAAGCCCCCCCCCAUUCAUCGUGGGCGCGUGAGGCUCUUGGCCUUAACCUAAGGUGUUAAUUGUUUUGUAGGUGCAAAAUCGUCCAAGAUCGAGGAGGAAGAAAUUUGCAUCCACAUUCCCGGCCAGCGGUUUGUUGUUUCUCAAGUCCAUAUGCGAACAUUAUUAUAUGGAAAAAUUUAUUCCAUAUUUUAGACUGCUAAGAUAACAGCGAUUGCAUACAAUGAAAUCACAAUUAUAAAGAAAUUGAAAGUUGUAAUCAAGAUAUUGCGGUUUACUCUGCUAUAGGUAUGAACAAUUGCGAGACAGAUCAGCAAGAAAGUGAUGCCAAGCAAUUGAAGUUUAUUCCUUUCAAUGUAAUUGUGACAGAGAAGCCAAUCAAUGAGAUAUACUGUGAGCUAAAUGUAUCUGGCAGGAUUCUAGAAUUGAAUAAAAAAAUAGAGUAAAUUGUACAAAUGGUCCCUCAACUUUAAUCAAAUUGGAGCAAUGGUCCCUCAACUAAAAAUUCAUUACUUUUGAUCCCUCAACUUAUCAAAACGUGCAGCUAUGGUCCCUCAACUAAAAAUCCAUUACCAUUGGUCCAUGAACUUUAAUUUAAGUGGAGAAAUAGUCCUUUAACUUUAACCCAAUUGUAGCAAUGGUCAUUCCAAUAUAACUCGUUUUGACAAGUUUUUUGACAUAGUUGACGAAAAUAACCAUAAUUAUACACUUUGAUAAGUUAAGGAACCCUAAUUAUAUAAAUGGUCAUUCCAACAUAGCUUAUUUUGACAAAAUUGAUGAAAAUGACUAUAGCUACCCAUUUUGAUAAGUUGAGGGACCAAUGGUAAUGGAUUUUUAGUUGAGGGACAAUUUCUCCAAUUUAAUUAAAAUUGAGGGACCAUUGGUACAAUUUACUCAAAAAAAUAAGGUAUCGUAGUGUGUAUCAAUUUGAAUUAACUAAUAAAAUACGGCUAGGGAAACUCGUGAUCCGGUCGUCAUCGACUCAUUGACUUUAACAGCUAGAGAAGAAACGCGUGAUCUACUCGUCAUUGACUCAUUACUUCCUUUGUAGCUCAGUGUGAAGAUCAGUGUGAAGAUCAAUCGAGUGUUUCAGUUCUUACAUUACUCUUAGAUACUCGAUCGAUUAAUGGCUGCUGCUGCAACUUCUUCGUCCUCUGGCUCUCCUUGGAAAUACGACGUGUUCCUCAAUUUCAGAGGGGAAGACACUCGCAGGUGCUUCGUCAGCCACCUCUACAAAGCCCUGAAUCAGAAAGCAAUCAACACCUUCAUUGAUGCCGAAGGGCUCCGAAAGGGCAACGACCUUUCGCAGCUACUGACGGCGAUCCAAGAUUCGCGCGUUUCAAUCGUGGUUUUUUCUCAAAAUUAUGCUUCUUCCACAUGGUGCUUGAAGGAGCUCGUCCAAAUACUGGAUUGUAUGGAUCGAAAGAACCAGAUAGUGGUGCCCCUUUUUUACGAUGUGGAUCCUUCUCAUGUCCGCAAAGCAGAGAGCAGCUUUGCGGAAGCUUUUGCCAAGCAUGAAGGCCAUUCUAACGCCGACAUGGAAGAGGUGCGGAGCUGGAGGUCCGCUCUUACUCGAGCCACCAAUUUAUCCGGCUGGGAUUCGAAAAAUUACGAGUAAUUUUUAGCUAUAGUAGUUUCAUAAUUUGGGAUUUUUUUUUCUUUUAACGUUUCGUUUUAAUUCUUUGUCAUGUUUUCCUAGCAAAUGUAUGACUAUGUAUACGGUUUGCACUUGCACUUGAUCUUACUCUUACAAUAAUGUUUUUCUUAUUCCACAGGGAUGAUGCCAUGCUCAUUGAGGAAAUUGUAGAAGAUAUUUUUCAGAAAUUGAUCCGCACCUCAUCAAGUAAAGACGAUGACUUGGUUGAAAUGGAUUCCCGCAUGCAUGAAAUGGAGUUGCUAGUACAACCCUCUCCUGAAAUGGACGACGUUCGUGUUGUUGGAAUAUGGGGUAUGGGUGGUAUUGGCAAAACAACCAUAGCUAGAGCUGUUUAUGAGAAAAUUGCUUGUCAAUUUGAAGCUUGUUGCUUUCUUGACAAUGUCAAGGAAGAGUUCACUUGUGGUGCCGUACAUAUGCAGGAAAAGUUUCUCUCUAGAAUCUUGAAUGAAAAGGUGCAGAGUUUAGGCACAUUAGAUCGAGGUUACAGAAUGAUUUUGAAAAGGUUACAGAUGAAAAAGGUUUUGAUUGUUCUUGAUGAUGUUGACGACUUAUUUCAAAUUGAAACCUUACUUGGAAAGCAACAUUCAUUUGGUGGUGGGAGUAGAAUCAUUCUCACCACUAGAGAUAAGCUAGUACUAAGUCGAGCUGAUACAAUCUACAGCCCCAAGGUUCUAAGUGGUGAUGGAGCUUUGGAACUCUUUAGCCAGUAUGCCUUUAGAACAAAGCAACCCAAAAGAGACUAUGACCAUCUCUCAAGCCGUGCUGUACGAUAUGCUCAAGGUCUCCCUUUAGCACUUAAAGUCUUGGGGGCUUUUCUUUAUAAUAAAUCUGUGCAGGAGUGGGAGGAGAUGCUAGAGAAAUUAAAGAAAAUCCCGCAAAGGGGAAUUCAUGAUGUGUUAAGAACAAGCUUCGAUGGACUAGAUGAUUCUGAGAAGAACAUAUUUCUGGAUAUUGCAUGUUUCUUUAAAGGAGCGGAAAAAGACAACGCAACAAAGGUUCUGGACAGUUGUGGCUUUUAUCCCCAUACUGGGCUAAGAGUUCUAAUUGAUCGAGCUCUUAUAACUGUCUCACGGGAAACACUGAAGAUGCAUGAUUUACUAGAGGAAAUGGGUCGGGAAAUCGUCCGCCAAGAAUCUAUUAAAGAGCCUGGGAAACGCAGUAGGUUGUGGAAUUAUGAAGAUGUUCAUCAUGUGCUAACUCAAAAUACGGUGCGAUAUGUUCAUGACCUUCUUUUUCAUAUGUAAAUCUUUAGAGUAAACAACUUUAACUUUGAUCAAAAUGCAAUUCAUAGAAACAUGCAUUAACUUUAUAAUGUUAAAUAAGAUUCAGGAUAUCUACAGUCACAUAAUUUGAACUAUUUGUUAUCCAGGCUACGGAAGCUGUUGAAAGCAUAAUCCUUGACCUUUCAUUCUCAAAACCAAAAGUGGUAUACUUCAGUUCCGAAGCUUUUGUUAAAAUGACGAAAUUAAGAUUGCUCAAAAUCCACGGCGACAAUGGAUAUUCAUGUGAGAAUUUAAGGUUUGUUCUGCAUGAGUUAAGAAGUCUCAUAUGGAAGCAUUUCCCCCUAAAGUCUUUACCGUCCAAUUUUAUUGCGAAGAAUCUUGUUGAGCUUGACAUGCAAAAUAGUCUCAUUGAACAUCUUUGGGAAGGAGCCAAGGUAAAAACUUCACUUGCAUAUAUUUCUUUUAAAUGGUUUAAUUCUUAGAUGCCUUACCAUAUACCUUGUUUUCCUUGAUGUGUUAUACCAGCCUCUGGAAAAUUUGAAAAUUAUCAACUUAACAAGUUCUCCUCACCUGAAGAAAACUCCUGACUUCACGGAGACGAAAAAUCUUGAGAAGGCAGUUUUUCGAAGUUGUACAAGUUUAUUUGAGGUUCACCCAUCCAUUUCAUCUCUCAAAAAGCUGGUUCUUUUGGAUUUGGAAUAUUGCAUAAAUCUUAAGAUUUUUCCAAGCAAGAUUGUUAUGAAAUCUCUUAGAACCCUUAAACUUUCAUGGUGCGAAAACCUCGAUAAGUUUCCCGAAGUUUCAGAUGUUAUGCAGGAUCUAUCAGAGCUUUAUUUAGAUUAUACUGAAAUUAAAGAACUGCCCUCGUCAAUUUGUAAUCUUACGAGGCUUGUUACCUUGAAUCUAAACGGUUGCAAAAAGUUUAAGAGUCUUCCAAGGCGUAUUUCUCACUUGAAAUCUCUUAAAAGCCUCCAUGCUUCUCAAUGCUCAAGUCUUGAGAAGUUUCCAAAAAUUUCAGAGGCUAUGAAUAAUCUAUCUGAGCUUUAUUUGGGUGACACUGCAAUUAAGGAGCUGCCUGCUUCUAUUUUGAAUCUCACCAGUGUUGUUACUUUGAAUCUGAAUGAUUGCAGAGAACUUGAGAGUCUUCCAAGCAGCAUUUCUCACAUGAAAUCUCUUCAAUGCCUUGAUGUUUCUGGAUGCUCAAAGCUUGAGAAGUUUCCAGAAAUUUCAGAGGUUAUGAAGAAGCUAUCUGUGCUUUGUUUGGGUGGCACUGGAAUUAAGGAGCUGCCUGCUUCUAUUUUAAAUCUCACCAGUGUUGUUACUUUGAAUCUGAAUGAUUGCAGAGAACUGGAGAGUCUUCCAAGCAGCAUUUCUCACAUGAAAUCUCUUGAAUACCUUGAUGUUUCUAGAUGCACAAAGCUUGAGAAGUUUCCAGAAAUUUCAGAGGUUAUGAAAAAGCUAUCUGGGCUUUAUUUGGGUGGCACUACAAUUAAAGAGCUGCCUGCUUCUAUUUUAAAUCUCACCAGCCUUGUUACUUUGAAGCUGAAUGGUUGCAGAGAACUUGAGAGUCUUCCAAGCAGUAUUUCUCACAUGAAAUCUCUUCAAUACCUUGAUGUUUCUAGAUGCUCAAAGCUUGAGAAGUUUCCAGAAAUUUCAGAGGUUAUGAAGAAGCUAUCUGGGCUUUAUUUGGGUGGCACUACAAUUAAAG
rnacentral:lncRNA from 1 species